GACAGAGGGGGCAAGCGUUGCUCGGAAUUACUGGGCGUAAAGGGCGCGUAGGCGGGAUGGCAAGUCGGUCGUGAAAUCCCUCGGCUCAACCGAGGAACGUCGAUCGAUACUGCUGUUCUUGAGGAUUGCAGAGGAGACUGGAAUUCCCGGUGUAGCGGUGAAAUGUGUAGAGAUCGGGAGGAACACCGGUGGCGAAGGCGGCAUCCUGGACCAAUUCUGACGCUGAGGAGCGAAAGCGUGGGGAGCGAACAGG
rnacentral:rRNA from 1 species